GAUGAAGAACGCAGCGAAAUGCGAUAAGUAAUGUGAAUUGCAAAAUUCAGUGAAUCAUCGAAUCUUUGAACGCACAUUGCGCCCAUUAGUAUUCUAGUGGGCAUGCCUGUUCGAGCGUCAUUUCAACCCUUAAGCCUAGCUUAGUGUUGGGAAUCUGCUGUAUUGCAGUUCCUCAAAUACAACGGCGGAUCUGUAACAUCCUCUGAGCGUAGUAAAUUUUUAUCUCGCUUUUGUUAGGUGUUGCAGCUCUCAGCCGCUAAACCCCCCAAUUUUUGUGGUUGACCUCGGAUCAGGUAGGAAUACCCGCUGAACUUAAGCAUAUCAAUAAGCGGAGGA
rnacentral:misc_RNA from 1 species